GUGGGGAAUAUUGGACAAUGGGCGAAAGCCUGAUCCAGCCAUGCCGCGUGUGUGAAGAAGGUCUUCGGAUUGUAAAGCACUUUAAGUUGGGAGGAAGGGCAGUAAGUUAAUACCUUGCUGUUUUGACGUUACCGACAGAAUAAGCACCGGCUAACUUCGUGCCAGCAGCCGCGGUAAUACGAAGGGUGCAAGCGUUAAUCGUAAUUACGGGGCGUAAAGCGCGCGUAGGUGGUUUUGUAAGUUGGAGGUGAAAUCCCCGGGCUCAACCUGGGAACUGCCUCCAAAACUGCAUGACUAGAGUACGGUAGAGGGUAGUGGAAUUUCCUGUGUAGCGGUGAAAUGCGUAGAUAUAGGAAAGAACACCAGUGGCGAAGGCGACUACCUGGACUGAUACUCACACUGAGGUGCGAAAGCGUGGAGAGCAAACAGGAUUAGAUACCCGUGUAGUCC
rnacentral:rRNA from 1 species